rnacentral:misc_RNA from 1 species
UUUCCGUAGGUGAACCUGCGGAAGGAUCAGUCAUGGUAAACGUGGGGUCUGAUGCGGCAUCCGCUCGACCCGCCCUCCUCGUGAUCGUGCAUCACGUUAAACGGAGCAAGAGCAUCGCUCUGCCCAUCCCCUCGGACGUCCCGCUCGGGUCCGGGUGGGAUCGUCCCCACCGAGCAUGUAAAUAAAGCGGGGACUGCUGCAUGGGGCUCUGACCCACAGGCGCAAUGUAUCUCAAUGAUCGACUCUUGUUGGAAUGAAUUACAACUGGUAGCGUUGGAUCCCUCGGCAUG